rnacentral:rRNA from 1 species
AUUGAACGCUGGCGGCAUGCCUUACACAUGCAAGUCGAACGGCAGCACGGGGGCAACCCUGGUGGCGAGUGGCGAACGGGUGAGUAAAGCAUCGGAACGUGCCCUGGAGUGGGGGAUAACGUAGCGAAAGUUACGCUAAUACCGCAUAUUCUGUGAGCAGGAAAGCAGGGGAUCGCAAGACCUUGCGCUCUGGGAGCGGCCGAUGUCGGAUUAGCUAGUUGGUGGGGUAAAGGCCUACCAAGGCGACGAUCCGUAGCGGGUCUGAGAGGAUGAUCGGCCACACUGGGACUGAGACACGGCCCAGACUCCUACGGGAGGCAGCAGUGGGGAAUUUUGGACAAUGGGCGAAAGCCUGAUCCAGCCAUGCCGCGUGAGUGAAGAAGGCCUUCGGGUUGUAAAGCUCUUUCGGUGGGGAAGAAAUUGCAUAGACUAAUACCCUGUGUAGAUGACGGUACCUGGAGAAGAAGCACCGGCUAACUACGU